GACGAAUGCUGGCGGCGUGCUUAACACAUGCAAGUCGAACGGAAAGGCCCUGCUUGCAGGGUACUCGAGUGGCGAACGGGUGAGUAACACGUGGGUGAUCUGCCCUGCACUUCGGGAUAAGCCUGGUAAACUGGGUCUAAUACCGGAUAGGAGCCAUUUUUAGUGUGAUGGUUGGAAAGUUUUUUCGGUGUAGGAUGGGCUCGCGGCCUAUCAGCUUGUUGGUGAGGUAAUGGCCUACCAAGGCGGCGACGGGUAGCCGGCCUGAGAGGGUGGACGGCCACAUUGGGACUGAGAGACGGCCCAGAAUGCUACGGGAGGCAGCAGUGGGGAAUAUUGCAGAAUGGGCGCAAGUCUGAUGCAGAGACGCCGCGUGGGGGAUGACGGCCUUCGGGUUGUAAACUCCUUUCGCUAGGGACGAAGCUUUUGUGACGGUACCUAGAUAAGAAGCACCGGCUAACUACGUG
rnacentral:rRNA from 1 species